rnacentral:tRNA from 2 species
GCCAGGAUACUCAAGCGGUAAGAGGUAUGCCUGGAGAGCAUAUGCCUUUAUGGCUCCGGGGUUCAAAUCCCCGUCCUGGCUCCA